ACGCUCUGGAAACGGGUGUUGGUACUUUGCGAAUUGUAAUUUCAGCACGAGCGGGGUCGAAUCCCUUGCAGACGACUUUGAUGUGCGAAAGGGUCCUGUAAGCAGUAGAGUAGCCUUGUUGUUACGAUCUGCUGAGGGUAAGCCCUACUUCGCCUCGAUUU
rnacentral:rRNA from 1 species